CACCUUUGACAUGUACGGAAUUUGCCAGAGAUGGCUUAGUGCUCGAAAGAGAACCGUAACACAGGUGCUGCAUGGCUGUCGUCAGCUCGUGUCGUGAGAUGUUGGGUUAAGUCCCGGCAACGAGCGCAACCCUUGUCAUUAGUUGCUACAUUUAGUUGGGCACUCUAAUGAGACUGCCGGUGACAAACCGGAGGAAGGUGGGGAUGACGUCAAGUCCUCAUGGCCCUUAUAGGUGGGCUA
rnacentral:rRNA from 1 species